rnacentral:rRNA from 1 species
UACAGAGGCCUCGAGCGUUAGGCGGAAUCACUGGGCUUAAAGCGUGUGUAGGUGGAUGCCUAAGUACUUUGUGAAAUCCCACAGCUUAACUGUGGAAUUGCUUGGUAUACUGGGUGUCUUGAGCCACUCAGGGGCUACUGGAACAAACGGUGGAGCGGUGAAAUGCGUAGAUAUCGUUUGGAACGCCAAUGGUGAAAACAGGUAGCUGGGGGUGUGCUGACACUGAGACACGAAAGCCAGGGGAGCAAACGGG